AUUGAACGCUAGCGGGAUGCUUUACACAUGCAAGUCGAACGGCAGCGCGGACUUCGGUCUGGCGGCGAGUGGCGAACGGGUGAGUAAUGUAUCGGAACGUGCCCAGUAGCGGGGGAUAACUACGCGAAAGCGUAGCUAAUACCGCAUACGCCCUACGGGGGAAAGCAGGGGAUCGUAAGACCUUGCACUAUUGGAGCGGCCGAUAUCGGAUUAGCUAGUUGGUGAGGUAACGGCUCACCAAGGCGACGAUCCGUAGCUGGUUUGAGAGGACGACCAGCCACACUGGGACUGAGACACGGCCCAGACUCCUACGGGAGGCAGCAGUGGGGAAUUUUGGACAAUGGGGGCAACCCUGAUCCAGCCAUCCCGCGUGUGCGAUGAAGGCCUUCGGGUUGUAAAGCACUUUUGGCAGGAAUGAAACGUCGCGGGCUAAUACCCCGUGGAACUGACGGUACCUGCAGAAUAAGCACCGGCUAACUACGUG
rnacentral:rRNA from 1 species